UAGGGAAUCUUCCACAAUGGACGAAAGUCUGAUGGAGCAACGCCGCGUGAGUGAUGAAGGGUUUCGGCUCGUAAAACUCUGUUGUUGGAGAAGAACGGGUGUCAGAGUAACUGUUGACAUCGUGACGGUAUCCAACCAGAAAGCCACGGCUAACUACGUGCCAGCAGCCGCGGUAAUACGUAGGUGGCAAGCGUUGUCCGGAUUAUUGGGCGUAAAGCGAGCGCAGGCGGUUUUUUAGGUCUGAUGUGAAAGCCUUCGGC
rnacentral:rRNA from 1 species